ensembl:scaRNA
ACGGUCUGGGGAAAGGCUCCUGUGUGGUUGGACCUGCCUGAGGUGGGUUCAGCCUUGUACCAGACAGCCCGACCUUGACCCAGAGUAAAUGCCCGGGAGGAGAAGCCUCCCUGGGUUUAGAAUUUGCAGUAACAGGUGUGAGCAUUCUAGCAGCAGUUUGAUGAUCAUGUAUGAUACUGCAAACAGGA